UACGUAGGGUGCGAGCGUUAAUCGGAAUUACUGGGCGUAAAGUGUGCGCAGGCGGCCGAGCAAGUCGAGUGUGAAAGCCCCGAGCUUAACUUGGGAACUGCGCUCGAAACUACUUGGCUAGAGUGUGGCAGAGGGAGGUGGAAUUCCACGUGUAGCAGUGAAAUGCGUAGAGAUGUGGAGGAAUACCGAUGGCGAAGGCAGCCUCCUGGGCCAACACUGACGCUCAUGCACGAAAGCGUGGGGAGCAAACAGG
rnacentral:rRNA from 1 species